rnacentral:ncRNA from 1 species
GGUUUGAGGUUGGGUUCGCCCUUCAACUGCCAGCAGGUUUACCUUGAAUAAAUCAGAGUGCUCAAUACAGGCGCUUGCUUGAAUAGCUCAUCAUGGAAUAAUGAAACAGGACUUCGGUUCUUUUUGUUGGUUCUAGAAUUGAUCUAAUGGUUAAGAGGGACAAACCGGGGGCAUUCGUAUCAUUACGCGAGAGGUGAAAUUCGUGGACCGUAGUGAGACGCCCAAUAGCGAAAGCAUUUGCCAAGAAUGUCUUCAUUAAUCAAGAACGAAAGUCAGAGGUUCGAAGGCGAUUAGAUACCGCCCUAGUUCUGACCGUAAACGAUGCCAUCUCGCGAUUCGGAGGGUUCAUGCCCUACCGAGGAGCUACCCGGAAACGAAAGUCUUUCGGUUCCGGGGGUAGUAUGGUUGCAAAGCUGAAACUUAAAGAAAUUGACGGAAGGGCACCACAAGGCGUGGAGCUUGCGGCUUAAUUUGACUCAACACGGGAAAACUCACCCGGUCCGGACACUAUUAGGACUGACAGAUUGAAAGCUCUUUCUCGAUUUGGUGGUUGGUGGUGCAUGGCCGUUCUUAGUUGGUGGAGUGAUUUGUCUGGUUUAUUCCGAUAACGAGCGAGACUCUAGCCUGCUAAAUAGUCGACGAAUCUUCGGGUUCGUAUAACUUCUUAGAGGGAUAAGCGGUGUUUAGCCGCACGAGAUUGAGCGAUAACAGGUCUGUGAUGCCCUUAGAUGUCCGGGGCUGCACGCGUGCUACACUGGUGGAGUCAGCGGGUUUUUCCUAUGCCGAAAGGUAUCGGUAAACCGUUGAACUUCUUCCAUGUCCGGGAUAGGGUAUUGUAAUUAUUACCCUUAAACGAGGAAUGCCUAGUAAGUGUGAGUCAUCAGCUCACGUUGAUUACGUCCCUGCCCUUUGUACACACCGCCCGUCGCUAUCCGGGACUGAACUGAUUCGAGAAGAGUGGGGACUGUGGCUGCGAGGUUUUACCACUUCGCAGUUGCGGAAACCAUUUUUAUCGCAUUGGUUUGAACCGGGUAAAAGUCGUAACAAGGUAGCUGUAGGUGAACCUGCAGCUGGAUCAUCG